UAAAUUGCUUUUCCUCGAUAGUUAACUGCAGCCGGUUUUAUUUUUCUUCGGCAGUUAACUACUGAGGGAUAU
rfam:Medicago truncatula strain A17 chromosome 8, whole genome shotgun sequence.